CAAAUAGUUCACACGAACGAACUAGGGUUUGGGAAGCGUAGUCCUUUAAAUAUCAAUAGAAGCUCUCCUCUUCGAAAUUCUCAAUCAAAACGUCACCAUUCUAAAGAGAUUAUCGUAAAUUCGAGUACAAAGCGCUAACCAAGAUGAGAGCCAAGUGGAAGAAGAAGCGUAUGAGGAGGCUGAAAAGGAAGCGCCGAAAGAUGAGACAGAGAUCCAAGUAGAUGCGCCUUGGGCUGAAAUAGUUUUGCCCUGACAAUCCCUUGUCUUCAUAAUUAUCCUGCAUAUGUUGCUUGAAGUUGUGAAGAUUGAAGGGUAUUUUCAGGAAACCUUAUCUGUUGUCUUCUAAAUCUAGGUUAAAGUUUUAAGACUGUUUGAGCUGUUUGUCUAGUACUAUUAGAUAUUAUGUUGGGGUUUUGUGGUUUGAUCUGUGUAAGCAGUUAACAUCCUAAAUGUUUGAAAUUGAAACUUUUGUUCUUCUUAUAUGGCCUAUAAUAUGCGAGAUAGAUUGUUUCCUUA